rnacentral:rRNA from 1 species
GUCCACGCCCUAACGAUGCAUACUUGGUGUGAGCGAUUCAUUUCGUUCGUGCCGGAGCUAACGCGUUAAGUAUGCCGCCUGGGGAGUACGGUCGCAAGGCUGAACUCAAAGGAAUUGACGGGGCCCGCACAAGCGGUGGAGCAUGUGGUUCAAUUCGACGCAACGCGAAGAACCUUACCUGGGCUCGAACGGCUUUGGAUCAUCUUUGGAAACAGAGACUUCUCGCAAGAGACCGGAGUCGAGGUGCUGCAUGGCUGUCGU